rnacentral:rRNA from 1 species
AGAGUUUGAUCAUGGCUCAGGAUGAACGCUAGCGGUAUGCUUACACAUGCAAGUCGUACGGAAAAGAAAUUUUUAGUGGCGGACGGGUGAGUAACGCGUGAGAAUUUGCCUUUAGGAAGGGGAUAACAACUAGAAGUAGUUGCUAAGACUCUAUAUGCCGUUUGGUGAAAAAAGCAAUUUGCCUAAAGAGAAGCUCGCGUCUGAUUAGCUAGUUGGUGGGGUAAAGGCCUACCAAGGCGACGAUCAGUAGCUGGUCUGAGAGGACGAUCAGCCACACUGGAACUGAGACACGGUCCAGACUCCUACGGGAGGCAGCAGUGAGGAAUUUUCUGCAAUGGGCGAAAGCCUGACAGAGCAAUACCGCGUGGAGGAUGAAGGCCUACGGGUUGUAAACUUCUUUUCUCAAGGAGGAAGAUCUGACGUUACUUGAGGAAUAAGCAUCGGCUAACACUGUGCCAGCAGCCGCGGUAAUACAGGGGAUGCAAGUGUUAUCCGGAAUCAUUGGGCGUAAAGCGUCUGCAGGUUGAUAUUUAAGUCUUUUGUUAAAUCUCCGGGCUUAACCUAGAAUCUGCAAAAGAAACUAUAUAUCUUGAGUAUGGUAGAGGUAAAGGGAAUU